rnacentral:tRNA from 1 species
GCUUGUCUAGCUCAGUUGAUAGAGAUUAAGGCUCUCAACCUUAAGGUUGUGGGUUUGAGCCCCACCAUGAGCG